AGAAUAAAUCUGGGGUGCCAAACGGCUGAGAUAAUACCCAUUGAACCUGCUCUGGUUAAUACCAGCGAAGGGAGAUUCAGUGAUAUUAAC
rfam:Lactobacillus reuteri DSM 20016, complete genome.